GAGAGAGGGAGUGAGCGGAUCUUAAGCAGGUUGCAUGCUCAGCUCAGCGCAGAGCCCGAGGAAAGGCGGGGCUCAAUCUCACCGCCCUGAGAUCAUGACGUGAGCCGAAAUCGAGUGGGACGCUUAACCAGCUGAGCCACCCACGCACCCCACUCUUCAUGCAGUAUUUUCAAUAUGUUCUCUGUUUUCCAUGUUUUCACAGAUGAUGUAUUUUAACUAAUAAACUUCUAUUUUAAUUAGUUUUGUCCUAAUUCCAUUUAGGAAGAACCAGAGCUUCAAUCCCUCAUUAUAUUAGCCAAGCUCAAUACAUGGUUGGUAUUUGCCUAAUUGAAUUCCUCAGAGUCACUUUGGUCACCUCCACUGUAAUUGGCCGGUGCCCCAUUUUGGAGGUACCCCAAAUUGGCAGCUUAUCUCUGAAGAGGAUCCCAGAGUUGCCCUCAUACUGAUUUCAAAGCCAGUUGAGGGUUAGAGUUUUUGCAGGAGAAAUCCUGGGAGAUGGGACAUCUCUGAGGUAACUCUGGGCUUGAGGAAAUCUGAAUCAAAAUCAUAAACCUGUGUGGAUAAGGAACCAAGGCACCGCUCACCAGGCUCGAUGCCAACAACAGCGACCACCACGUUCUUUGCGCAUGGCCCCACCACACGGGGGUGGGUUCGUAUGGGUUUGGAGAAACCCUUAACUGCUGUUGUCUACCUGUACCCUUUCUUUCUUUUUUUUUUUUUUUAAAGAUUUUAUUUAUUUAUUUGACAGAGACACAGUGAGAGAGGGAACACAAGCAGGGGGAGUGGGAGAGGGAGAAGCAGGCUUCCCGUGGAGCAGGGAGCCCGAUGCGGGGCUCGAUCCCAGGACCCUGGGAUCAUGACCUGAGCCGAAGGCAGACGCUUAACAACUGAGCCACCCAGGCGCCCCUACCUGUACCCUUUCCACUCCUUGUUGGCAUUUUCCUGCUCUGCUUUCCUUCCCUGAAUCAUUUUCUCUCUUCAUUCCUGCAGCUGCGGCCUUCCUGCCCUCUUUCGUCUCUCUACUCCUCGGGCCUCCUUUCCUCCUGCCCCGGCACUCAGACUCAUUGCUGCUGAUUAAAUAUGUGGCGCUGCAGAUUGGUUCAAGUACGGCCCUCCCACGGUUCUCCACCUGACUCAAAAUGUUUAAACGGCUUCUUUCUAAACGACGAAAAUGCUGGGUUUUAUUUCCAUAGGUUGCUUUGGACAGCAAUUGGGCAAAUAACCCAAAAUUUCAGACUUGAUUUUUAAAUACAUUUUUCCCCCUUUAGAUUUACAAAUAAUUUCACCUUAGAGACACACACACACACACAAAAAAGUACAAAACAGCACCAAGGUGUCUGGGGAUGGGAAGACGAGCCCAAUGAAUCAAAUUGGCUCUGAACAUUUCAGAGAGGGGUGCCCAACAACAAGCCUGCUUCUGUCCAUAGUCCUGCCAUGGGCCUUCCCCCCACCCCAUCUCCACCUCAACCCAGUAUCACUGAUAGAGGAAUAUGUGAAAACCCCAGUUUCAAAAUGUUCUGUGUGCUAGAAUGGCAGGUGCCUGUUGAGCGGGUCUGGGACACACAGAGGUACCUCACAGCAUCUGCCUCAAGGGGGUGCUACUUCCCCACAGUGAUGAGCCAACCACAAGGCCCGUGGGAUGGCGCUUCCCCUCAUUUGUUUUCCUUCAUUUAUGUUACUUGGAUGUUUAAGUAAUAAACACAAAUUUUCUGUGUUUACAUCUCUUAUUUCUCUAGGAAACAGUUCCCUAAAGGCUGUCUACAUGAAAGACAAAAUGAAGAGUAUGCGGCUCCUGAAUCCCACUGUCCAGCGUUCUAAGACUCCCCUAUUUUUCAGCCCAGCAUUUAGCUCAUGCUCUGGAGGAGACACCCUCUUGAACUUUCUACCAGACUGUGCAACCUUUCUGAAAUCACAGUUGUGUCUUACUUACUCUCUGCAAUCCCUUGACAUAGUCAAGGCUCACCACUGCAUCAUAUUUGCAUCAUAUUCAUUGAGCAUCAGUAUGCUCACAUGGAUUGAGCAGGGUCAUCUAAAAUACCCUGAAUUAUUAUUUUUUUUAUUAAGAUUUUAUUUAUUUGAGAGAGAGAAUGAGAGAAAGAGAGCAUGAGCAGGAUGAGGGGCAGAGGGAGAAGCAGACUCCCCGUUGAGCAGGGAUCCUGAGGUGGGGCCCGAUCCAGGGACUCGGGGAACAUGACUUGAGCUGAAGGCAGAUGCUUAACACACUGAGCCACCCAGGCACCCAUAAGAUACCAUGAGUUAUAUGCAGGGGGUCCUGGGGUGCCUGGAUAGGAGAACAUAUUCAGGGGCAUAUAGUGUACGGGUUUGCGAGUCACCAGAGACAGUGGCUGAGGGACAGAAUUCCAGGCCACAUCUGGCCGGUGGUGGCAUCCAGGGAGUUUACGUGGAACAGCUUUCAUUAUUCUGUGGCAUCACCUUUAAGGUCGGAGACGUGUCCCAACACUUUUUGGUUCCCUUAAAGGUAAAUAAAGGUGGUUUCUGAUCUUUUGCAAUUACAAACAAUGCUACAAAACAAUGCUACAAAAAAUCAUUCCUGACUCUAUUUAGAAUUUUCUACUGUCAACCAUAAAAGGACAAUACCACUGAGUAACAUUGUGUUUCCUUUUGUUUAUCCAAAAAUUGAAUCAAGAUUGCAGAAAUACCUCUAAGUUAAGAUUUUCUUCAAUUUGAUGACUGAGUAUUCAUUGACCUAUAAUUCUAUAAUUUUAUUCGUUUUCAUUUUUGUUCAUUUUUUUUAAAGAUUUUAUUUAUUUGACAGAGAGAGAGCGAGAAAGGGAACACAAGCAGGGGGAGUGGGAGAGGGAGAAGCAGGCUUCCCGCGGAGCAGGGAGCCCAAUGCGGGGCUCAAUCCCAGGACGCUGGGACCAUGACCCCAGCCGAAGGCAGACGCUUAACGACUGAGCCAUCCAGGUGUCCCUGUUCAUUUAUUUUCAAUUCCACGUCCAAAGUCCCAGGCAAGGAUUCUGAUUGGCCCAGCUUGAGUCAAGAACCAACUUCUGGACCAAUCAACUGUGAGGACAGGUAGACUCUGAGAUACCAAGCAUUAUGUCUCUAUAAAUUACUCUUUUUAAAGAAUACUAAGAAGGCCGACCGUGCUUCGGAAUUGUAAGGACGCUGUUUGAUGGUGACAAGUGCCUGGAUUACCAAAACAACCUUCAACAGGUACCACACAGACACCCUCCAUUCUGUCUCUACAUGGCCAGAUUUUUUCAAAUCAAAGAUUUGAACAUCAAAAUCAUAUUCUAUCUCUCUAUUUCUUAAAAGGCUUCAAAUGUUUCCCGUUGCUCUUAGUAUAAAACCCAAACUCCUUAGUAUGGCCAUGAAAAUCUAUGUGGGUUGGCCUCUGGCUCCUCAGUCUCUGAGCCUCAGCCACAGGGGCCUCCCCUCAGUGCCUCCGCCAUGCUCCCUCAGCACAGGGCCUUUGUACACACUGCUUCCCCUGCCCAGAUGCUCUUCCCCUCUCCCUCCCAGUCACCUAACUGCUCAUUUAGUGUGCUUCCUCAGGAAAAUCUUGCCAAAUCUUAUCUAAAUUAUGUCCCCCUCACAGCCAAGAGUAGCUAUAGUCCUUUUCCUGUGUAGCACUUGGCACUCUGGUAACUUACAUUUAUUUAUCUGAUUAUUUGAUUAUCUGUAUCACUACUAAAUAAAUGGUCUGCUUCAAGAAAACAGGCACUGUGUCUGUUUUUGCUCACCACACUUCUCCCACAUCUAGUACAUCUAGCUGUAUUGCAGAUGUACAGAAAAUAUUGGUUGAAGAAAUGCAUGUUGUACAGUAAAAAUGACCAAAAACAUUGCUUAUUGCUAUACAACAAAUUAAUCUAUAACAUAGUAACUUCAAGCAACAAGAAUCGUUUAUUACCUCUCACAGUUUUUGUGGGUCAGGAAUUUGGUGGUGGCUUCCUGAGUAUCUUUUGUGUUGAGUCUUUCAUGACGUUGUAGUUGGAGGUCAGUGGGGGCUACAGUCAUCUGAAGGCUUGUCCGAGGCUGGAGAUCUUCCCAAGAGCCUGGAAGUUUCUGCUGGUUCUUGGGAAGAAGCCUCAGUUCUCCACAUGGGCCUCUCCACAAGUUUCUUGAGUGUCCUCAAGACAUGGCAGCUGGCUUCUACCAGAGAAAACUAUUCAAGCUGCAAUUUUAUGGCUUAACAUUGGAAGUCAUGGACAGUCAUGUGUGCAGUAUUCUGCUGGUCACACAGGUCAGCUCUGAUUCAUGGUAGGACUACACAAAGGCACGAAAACCAGCAGGCAUGGAUAACUGGAAGCCAUCUUGGAGACUGGCUACCACAAACACUUCUGUUUAACUCUUGCAUUUUCAGACCCUUGACAUAUGGAAAACAUUUGUACAAAGAAGACAGGGCAUCCUUCCCUGAGGCUUCUCUACCUCUCCUAGAAUUAUACUGGGUUUCCAAAUUCAGAAGUUCUAGUGAAAGUCUCAAAAAACAACCUUCUCAUACAGAGUUAAUUAACAAGUUACUGUUCCCCAAAGCCUCUGCCCCAUUCAAGUGACCAGGAGGUCACAUUUGUUUUUCUAUCCUAUCACUUAACCAGACACCAAAAUUGAGAAACAACUCCAACAAAGAAAAUUAGUACAAAAAGGAAAUAUAACCAAUAUUUCUUGAAAAUCUGAUA